UCUGCUGAGGCUUUCUCUCCCUCUGUUACACGUUUCCUGUAGUGUAGCUGAAACCUACUUCAUCAGUCCUCUCUCUGCUUUUCUCUUCCUAUCCUCUGAAGCUACGUUGUACUGAUCCAGUUUCAUGGAGCAUCCACACCCUUCAUCUUCCUUUCUCCGCCUUUUUUCCUCCUAUCAUCUGCCUUGCCGGAACCCCUCUCAGAACAUCAUCUCACUUCAUCACCUUUUGCAAAUCGUACUUCUGCUACCCUAGCUAUUUCAUGCGCUCCAUGUGCUCUACUCUUCUCUAGGUCGUCCUUCCUGUAUCUCUUUGCUGGAUUUUCCUUUGCACGGUUCAAGCUUCGAUGUAACCCUCCAUCAGUGAUCUAUUAUCUACACCCUACCUCGAAAACCAGCUAUUGAUUCUGCUUUCCAGGUUGUGUGGCUACACUCUAGAUCAGAUUUCAGAAAGCUAGCUCUUAAUUCUUCUUUACAGCUAUCAUUAACAAUCUUGACUGUUGUCGCAAUCUUUUUCUCAUAUGAGUGGAGUUACUUGGAGUUUUGUGGGUACUGCCAGAUUCAUAUCUUGAUGUUCCCCCCAAAGACAAUGGUUUCUCACUUGCUCUGACUUGAAAAAUGCCCACUGACUCUUAGGGAAGUAAAAAAUAGGGCUUCUCUGAUUGUUUCCUACUUUUUUUUACAUAUAUAGCUGUUGAAUUUAGGCUUGAGGACUAAUUGUAUUUGCUUACAUAUAUUGCUCUUGAAUUUUUUUUGCCAAUUUCUGGCAUCACACCUUCUAAGGGAUCAUCUAAUUUGUGAAUUUAUUUCUAAUCCAAGAUAUAGAUGUUCUUGUGCUGCAUUGUUAUCUUGUGCCUUUUUCAACUCUUUUUUUUUUUUGAGUUUUUUGUCAAUGAUGUCUCACAAUGUGUGGCUUUUGUACUGUGAUCAAGUUCUUUUUCAUCCAGCAAAAGAAUUUCUUCCAACAAUCCAAAAGAGGUAUUUCAUUUUCUAAUACUUCAUGUAGCUUGGUCUGACUUGCAUUUAUUUUUCUCUCUUAGAGAUGUAGACAGAGUUGUUUCUUCUUAUGUCAUUUUCUUCUACUCAUUGAUGUUGCUUUUGUUUCAUAGUAAUUAGUUUGCUGAUAACUAUAGUUUAAACAGUUAAUGACUUAGAUUUAAAUAGUUAAAUGAUUUGUAAUCAUACAUGAUGGUGUUUAAAUUUAAUCAAUGUGGUCGUCUGACCCCAUUUGCUGAAGAAUGGCUUUGUUGCUGUAAUGAUUUUGUCUUCUACUGCAUUGCAUUAGUUUCCUAGAUGAAGCUUUUCAUAUUAUAACCUUGAAAAUAUUUCAAGAAGUUUAAUCUUGUCAUGGUUCAAAUGUAAUUUUGACAUAUCAAACUUACGUCCAAUGUGAUACUGAAUUCCAUUGUUAAUUCCUUGCGAGAGAGAUUGAAAAGGUAUGUUAAUUCCUAAUUUUUCUAAUAUGGUAUCAUAGCUCUAAGAAUAAUGGAGCUCACCAACGAUCUGCUUCAUCAUCUUCGUGCCACCCGCGGUAGAGUCUUUAAACAUUCUUGUCGUCGAACCGCUGCCAGACUCUCCUCCUUCAGUUUCUUAGAUCUCACGACCAAUCUUAGGGUCGUGAUUUCCCCAGAUUCAUUUUCUUUGUCAUCAUCUUCUGAUUCUGUCAUGGAGCAAGUAGCAUCUGUGAAGCAAGGAAACCUGCAUCUGAUACUUUUAUCAUCAGUUAACUUCAAUGACUUAUUGAUUUCGACACAAUAAAUAUUGGCUCUUGAAGAAACUAAAUGUUUUUUAUCUUGAGUAACUUCGAUGAUUUAUUGAUCAACACUGUGAAGAAGACACAAAGUACUCUGAUGAAGAAUUCAGUCAUAGAGCAAAUUGAACUCAUGGCCAUCCAGAAUUCAAGAAUCAACAAACCAUGUGUUGGGGAUUUUGCCACCGAGGGAUAAAUGUCUUUGCGAUCUUUUCGAAAUAUAUGAGGAUAAUUGCACACAAAAUUCUUGGGCUUAUUGUUGAUUAUGAAUCAUAGGCAAUGUCAAGUGGAUAAGGUGCUGAGUUUCAGAGUAUUAUUGUAAUCUGCAUUAUUUUUUGAACAUGUAAUCUGCAUCAUUAGUAUUUCUAUAUGUGCUUGUAACACUGAAACCCUAAUUAUUGUAUUUAUAACGAAUCAAUAAACAGAAUUAUAGCUG